UACGGGGGGGGCAAGCGUUGUUCAGAAUUACUGGGCGUAAAGGGUUCGUAGGUGGCCAACUAAGUCAGACGUGAAAUCCCUCAGCUUAACUGGGGAACUGCGUCUGAGACUGGAUGGCUUGAGUGCAGGAGAGGAACGCGGAAUUCCAGGUGUAGCGGUGAAAUGCGUAGAUAUCUGGAGGAACACCGGUGGCGAAGGCGGCGUUCUGGACUGCUACUGACACUGAGGAACGAAAGCCAGGGGAGCAAACGGG
rnacentral:rRNA from 1 species